CGUACACUCCUGCGGGAGGCAGCAGUGGGGAAUAUUGCACAAUGGGCGCAAGCCUGAUGCAGCCAUGCCGCGUGUAUGAAGAAGGCCUUCGGGUUGUAAAGUACUUUCAGCGGGGAGGAAGGCAAUACGGUUAAUAACCGUGUUGAUUGACGUUACCCGCAGAAGAAGCACCGGCUAACUCCGUGCCAGCAGCCGCGGUAAUACGGAGGGUGCAAGCGUUAAUCGGAAUUACUGGGCGUAAAGCGCACGCAGGCGGUCUGUCAAGUCGGAUGUGAAAUCCCCGGGCUCAACCUGGGAACUGCAUUCGAAACUGGCAGGCUUGAGUCUUGUAGAGGGGGGUAGAAUUCCAGGUGUAGCGGUGAAAUGCGUAGAGAUCUGGAGGAAUACCGGUGGCGAAGGCGGCCCCCUGGACAAAGACUGACGCUCAGGUGCGAAAGCGUGGGGAGCAAACAGGAUUAGAAACCCCUGUAGUCCCAUG
rnacentral:rRNA from 1 species